rnacentral:rRNA from 1 species
CUCAAAGGAAUUGACGGGGGCCUCGCACAAGCGUUUGAGCAUGUGCUUUAAUUCGAUGCAACGCGAAGAACCUUACCUGGGUUUGACAUGGGGGUGAAAGUUUCCAGAGAUGGAAGCCUUUCCUUCGGGAACACCCCACACAGGUGCUGCAUGGUUGUCGUCAGCUCGUGUCGUGAGAUGUUGGGUUAAGUCCCGCAACGAGCGCAACCCCUGCCCUUAGUUGCCAUCAGGUAAAGCUGGGAACUCUAAGGGGACAGCUUGGUAUAACCAGGAGGAAGGUGGGGAUGACGUCAAAUCAUCAUGGCUCUUACGCCCAGGGCUAGACACGUGCUACAAUGGCAGGUACAAGUGGGAUGCCAGCCUGCGAAGGUGAGCUAAUCCCUUGAAACCUGUCUCAGUCCGGAUUGGAGUCUGCAACUCGACUCCAUGAAGUUGGAAUCGCUAGUAAUCGCGGAUCAGCAUGCCGCGGGUGUAUACGUUCCCGGGCGUUGUACACACCGCCCGUC